rnacentral:rRNA from 1 species
GACGAACGCUGGCGGCGUGCUUAACACAUGCAAGUCGAACGGAAAGGCCCUGAUUUUGUGGGGUGCUCGAGUGGCGAACGGGUGAGUAACACGAUAGUAACCUGCCCUUGCCUUUGGGAUAACUUCAGGAAACUGGGGCUAAUACCGGAUAGGAGCUCCUGCUGCAUGGUGGGGGUUGGAAAGUUGCGGCGGGUGGGGAUGGACUCGCGGCUUAUCAUCUUGUUGGUGUGGUAGUGGCUUACCAAGGCUUUGACGGGUAGCCGGCCUGAGAGGGUGACCGGCCAAAUUGGGACUGAGAUACGGCCCGGACUACUAAGGGAGGCAGCAGUGGGGAAUAUUGCACGAUGGGCGGAAGCCUGAUGCAGCAACGCCGCGUGAGGGAUGACGGCCUUCGGGUGGUAAACCGCUUUCGCCUGUGACGAAGCGUGAGUGACGGUAAUGGGUAAAGAAGCACCGGCUAACUACGUG